GGUAAUGGAGCAGAGACUGGAGCAGAGACAAGUUGUUCCCACUGAGCUCUCCUCAGAUUACAGAUUGGGAGUGGCAAAUCAAAGGCAUUGCAGCCUCUUUCAUCACUGCCGAUUGCUGAUGCCAACCAUGUGCCAAGUGCUUAAUACGUCACCUUAAAUCUUCUCAUCCACCCUCAGAGGGGGUGGGGCCAAGAUGGCUGACUAGAAGCAGCUGCGAUCAGAGGCUCCCAUCAAAAAGAACCGUAAUCAGCAUGUGAAUCCUGCACCGGCAACCCAGUAGCUGCAGCAUCAACCCAGUGCCCUGACUUUCAAGACGACUAUGAAAACACCCCAACUGCUGCUAAAUUACCAGCAACAAGGAUCUGACAUUCUUAUUCAAAAGAAAGAACACCGAAAUUGACCUUACCCUGACAAUAUGAUGGCUGAAGGAUUUAUGAUCACUUAUAACAUUUGAAAUUGAGGCGGAACCUGAAGAAUAAGACUCUGGUGAAAGGUCCUAUUUAUGCUUUUGAUGUCUUUCACUUGGACAUUUACCACAUGCCUAUUGGUAGGUUUGUUACAUAGGUCAGUUAAGGUGAUACAAGAAUAAAUAAAACACUAUCCCUAUCCUUUAAUAUCAUUUAUUUAUGGGGUCAAUCACAGAUUUUCAUUUUUCAAAAUCUUUGAUAAAUGUCAGAAUUAUGUUUUUUAAUAUUUUUACAGAAUUAUUACAAUAUAUGGUAGAGGAUGGAAGGCAAGGUAGUAUGAAACGGAAAAGAUAUUUUGAAUUAAGGUAUUUGGACCUGGAUUAAUAUUUUUGCUUUGGUCUUUAUUAGCUGAGUGACCUUGAGAAAGUUCUUCUACUAAAAAAGAACAAAGAUAAUAAUUACUUCAUGAAAUUGCUGUAAAAAACACAUAACAAGUAUAUCCAGACUCAACAGUGUAUGCUCAAAAAUGCAGAUCCUUUUUCCCUUACCUGCAAAUAAAGUCUUACAGUAAUACAGUGGGGGUAAAGGUUUAAACUGGUGGAUUCAAGAAGGGCUAUAGAAAGAGGUAGCAUCUUAAUAGGGGAAGGAGAGGAUCCAAGAAAUCAGAUCCAUUUUCUACAAAAAGAAAUGGGAAGACAGAUAAUUCAAGAAGAAAA
rnacentral:lncRNA from 1 species